CCUACGGGAGGCAGCAGUAGGGAAUCUUCCACAAUGGACGAAAGUCUGAUGGUGCAACGCCGCGUGAGUGAAGAAGGUUUUCGGAUCGUAAAACUCUGUUGUUGGAGAAGAACGUANUGAUGGUAACUGAUCAGGUAGUG
rnacentral:rRNA from 1 species